AUGAAAACAGUUUGUGCUGCCGAAUAUUCUGUUCAUGAUGCUGUAGACUGGACGAAUUAUGAGGAUGGCAGAGGAGUCACGGACUCGAACUGGGAACUACGUAUAUGCUUCCUGUGUUCCGGAAGUAUAGGAGCUGACAUUUUCUUCUUCUUUUUGCGGUUUUUUCUUGUACUCUUUGUUUGGGGAGAAAGACUAUUGCGUGAACUACCGACAACUGUAUCUUCUCUUGCGACCCAGCAAAUAAAUAAAACAGAAGUGGAUCUGGGUUGUGUGUACGAUCGUAUCAAAGUAUGCAAGCAAGUUGCUCAUAAAUUUUUAUAUGAAAAAGUUGCUACCCUGGCCACCGCGUCACUCUGA
rnacentral:rRNA from 1 species